AGGUGCGAUCAUUCCAACACUAAUGCACCGGAUCCAAUCAGAACUCUACAGUUAAGCGUGUCAGGGCGAGAUUAGUACUAGGAUGGGUGACCUCCUGGGAAGUCCUUGUGUUGCACCCC